GGAGGGUCCAAGCGUUAUCCGGAAUCAUUGGGUUUAAAGGGUCCGUAGGCGGGCUAUUAAGUCAGGGGUGAAAGUUUGCAGCUCAACUGUAAAAUUGCCUUUGAUACUGGUAGUCUUGAAUUGUAGUGAAGUGGUUAGAAUAUGUGGUGUAGCGGUGAAAUGCAUAGAUAUCACAUAGAAUACCGAUUGCGAAGGCAGAUCACUAACUAUAUAUUGACGCUGAGGGACGAAAGCGUGGGGAGCGAACGGGAUUAGAUACCCCGGUAGUCCACGCCGUAAACGAUGGAUACUAGCUGUUGGAUUUUUUCAGUGGCUAAGCGAAAGUGAUAAGUAUCCCACCUGGGGAGUACGUUCGCAAGAAUGAAACUCAAAGGAAUUGACGGGGGCCCGCACAAGCGGUGGAGCAUGUGGUUUAAUUCGAUGAUACGCGAGGAACCUUACCAGGGCUUAAAUGGGAGAUGACAGGGGCAGAGACGCCCUUUUCUUCGGACAUCUUUCAAGGUGCUGCAUGGCU
rnacentral:rRNA from 1 species